UGCCCUAUCCAUUUGGGGUAAUCCUACCACAGCCUGCGUCGCUGGUAACGGCGGGGUGGGAAGCCUGUGGGACAACGUGGGAAAGCUGCGAGCCUAACGUAGCCGUACUG
rnacentral:ncRNA from 1 species